rnacentral:rRNA from 1 species
GACGAACGCUGGCGGCGUGCCUAAUACAUGCAAGUAGAACGCACAGUUUAUACCGUAGCUUGCUACACCAUAGACUGUGAGUUGCGAACGGGUGAGUAACGCGUAGGUAACCUGCCUGGUAGCGGGGGAUAACUAUUGGAAACGAUAGCUAAUACCGCAUAAUAUUAAUUAUUGCAUGAUAAUUAAUUGAAAGGUGCAAUUGCACCACUACCAGAUGGACCUGCGUUGUAUUAGCUAGUAGGUGAGGUAACGGCUCACCUAGGCGACGAUACAUAGCCGACCUGAGAGGGUGAUCGGCCACACUGGGACUGAGACACGGCCCAGACUCCUACGGGAGGCAGCAGUAGGGAAUCUUCGGCAAUGGACGAAAGUCUGACCGAGCAACGCCGCGUGAGUGAAGAAGGUUUUCGGAUCGUAAAGCUCUGUUGUAAGAGAAGAACGGGUGUGAGAGUGGAAAGUUCACACUGUGACGGUAUCUUAUCAGAAAGGGACGGCUAACUACGUG